rnacentral:sRNA from 1 species
UUUAGGAGGAAGGCAGAUGCAAAGCAUUUCUUUCAUGCCUUCCGACGAUUUGACGCCGAAUCGCAGAUGAGAGGGCGUUACCUUAA